rnacentral:rRNA from 1 species
UCUGGUGGCGAUAGCGAAGAGGUCACACCCGUUCCCAUACCGAACACGGAAGUUAAGCUCUUUAGCGCCAAUGGUAGUUGGGACUUUGUCCCUGUGAGAGUAGGA